rnacentral:lncRNA from 1 species
UAAGAAGUCAAGUAGGUAUGCUAUUUUCGAGAAGCAUGGCACAGGUCUUGCUGUGUGUUCCAUUUUCUCUCCAAAUGUCAGAGGGGAAUGGAAAAUUGGAGUGCCGUAAAACACUUGGAGACUUCAUUUAUUACACAUUAAUUAUAAAAUCAAAGGGAAAUAAGGAGGAGUUCUUCUGUUUUCAAACCCUGGGAAACUAGUGUGGAGCAGAGCAAACUGAGCAGAUACUAAGGGGUUGACUUUCUCUGCAUGGAAAAGAAUAAACUUCACACAAGCAGGACUGAAGUGUAUGACAUUGAGUGUUGUGAAGAACACAUAAGGAUAAUGUAAAAGUAAGUUUUUUUUUUUUUUUUUUUUUUUUUUUCACUAAACCCUGCACCUUUAGAAUGAGGGCUUUUAUGAAGCUCUUUAGUUGAUGUGCAGCCAGUUUGGGAGCUGAGAAA